rnacentral:rRNA from 1 species
CCUACGGGUGGCAGCAGUGAGGAAUAUUGGUCAAUGGGCUUACGCCUGAACCAGCCAAGUCGCGUGAGGGAAGACUGCUCUAUGGGUUGUAACCCUCUUUUGUCAGGGAGCAAUUGGCGCUACGUGUAGCGUUAUCGAGAGUACCUGCAGAAAAAGAAUCGGCUAACUCCGUGCCAGCAGCCGCGGUAUUACGGAGGAUGCAAGCGUUAUCCGGAUUGAUUGGGGUUAAAGGGUGCGUAGGCGGAAUGCCAAGUCAGAGGUAAAAUCCAGGGGCUCAACCUCGCUCCGCCGUUGAAACUGGCGUUCUUGAGUGGGCGAGAAGUAUGCGGAAUGCGUGGUGUAGCGGUGAAAUGCAUAGAUAUCACGCAGAACACCGAUUGCGAAGGCAGCAUACCGGCGCCCAACUGACGCUGAGGCACGAAAGCGUGGGUAUCGAACAGGAUUAGAUACCCCAGUAGUC